UACGUAGGUGGCAAGCGUUGUCCGGAAUUAUUGGGCGUAAAGCGCGCGCAGGCGGUCCUUUAAGUCUGAUGUGAAAGCCCACGGCUCAACCGUGGAGGGUCAUUGGAAACUGGGGGGACUUGAGUACAGAAGAGAAGAGUGGAAUUCCACGUGUAGCGGUGAAAUGCGUAGAGAUGUGGAGGAACACCAGUGGCGAAAGGCGACU
rnacentral:rRNA from 1 species